UGCAUAAUUUAGAUACUGAUAAAUUUGAACUCUAUUAUGAUUGGAAUUAGCCUUAGUUAAUUAGUCAUUUGUGCAUUGGAAUAAAACCAUAGUACAAGGUUAUUUUCUAAUGAGUUGGUCCAUUCUAUUUGAUGAACUAGUGUUCGUUCUCUUCAACACUAUUCUACAUGAUCAAAUUCGUUGAAAACCUUCACCGUACUAUUAUGCUCGAGGAGACUUUAUAAGUAAAUACUUUGCAAAAAGAAGAAUAAAAAAAAAUAAACAAUAAAAAAAAUUAAAAUAGAAAAAGAAAUUAAAAGAAAUCCUUAACCUAUAAAAACACCAAGACACUAAAAAAAUAGAACUCCUUAAGAACAGUGUUCUGCCUAUAUUACCCCUGUAUUUUCUUGGAAUUCCUUAUCUACAGUGGACUCCCUAUAUUGCCCUCUAAUUAAUUUACAUGUACACAUGGGUGGUCUCUCUCCUCAUUUUUCAUUUUCCCUGAUUAACUCUCAGCCUCUCAAAUUUCUCGAGAAAAUGGUAGAUGAAAAAAAUAAGUAAUACUUCGUAUGUUUUCCAAUCACUCAUCUGUUUCUAUUCUCUCCCUUUCUACUCUCUUUCUCUUUCCUCUUCUAUUUUCCUUCCAUUGAAGCUUACUCCAAGUUUUCCAUUGAAGCGUGCUCUGAGCUUUCUAUCCACCAUUGAAGCUAAGGUAAGAUGGAUUAAGUGUGAAUUUUUGUGUAUUUGAAAUUCUGAUUUUAUAAAUUCUAUCAAAUUCUGAUAUUUGUUGAGUUUUUUAAUCUUUACCUACUCGGGAAUUUGCAACGAGUUUAUUGUUAGAUAAGGGUUAGGGCUUUUGUUUAGCAAUUUUUUUGGUGAUGUUCAAUUUGGUGGCGGAUCUGAGCAGCCGCUUCACUAUUUCCUUCAUUUAUCCUCAAAUAAAUCAUCAACCCACCUUAUAUCUGCUCUUUGAAUCAAGAAGUGGAAAGUUGGCUGGUGAAAUGACCCUAUAAUUUCUACUUCGGCUGACGACAGUGACGGCGACGGCGGAGGCGAUGGAGGAGGGUAUAGCAUUGAGAACGUGAAGAGGGCAAAGCUAAAUUCGACGUUAGCUGCAUUGCUCGACGAUCCUAUUCUUGCCGAUGUCCCAAAGAAGCCAUCUUUAUCAGAUGUCCAUACCCUUAUCACCUUAGAGCUCGGCAGUGCCAUGCGCAUCACCAUCCUCAAGCUCGACUCCACCUCAUUUGGUAAUUUUCUUAUUUUAUUCUCUCAGUCAUUUCUACAUGGAACUAAAUUGAAAAUCUUACUGAAACAUGCACCAAUUUAUCUUAAUAAGGGUUAAUGGGAUGAAAUAAUGAUAGUUGAUAUGACAUUUAUUCCAACUACUUAAAAAUAGAAUGGGCUGAUUGAGAAGUUAGGAUUUCCAGCAAUUCAGUUAUUGGAAAAAUGGAUUUGGGAGGACUAAAUUGUUUGUUCCUUUUUUAUGAUGAGCCGCCUAGUUAUUUAGUAGGUCUAUUGUUUUGCAUGCUGUGUAAGAGUGUUUCUCUUUUGCAGCUUCUGCUCAAGUUUUGGGAAGUGGGAUUAAGGUUUUAAAAAAGAUUAAUCUACUGUUUGGUUUGCUCAAGUGUUGGGAACUACGGUUAAGGUUUUAAUUUUAAAAAGAUUAAUCUGUUGUUUGGUUUCAAAUCAAAACAAAAUCAAUUGGCUUUUAUUUCUCAAAUAAGUAUGGCUCUAAUUGUAGAAUUGUUAAUGUAAGAGUGUUUCAGAUCAUUGCAGGAACGUAACCGCUACGUAUUUUGCAGUUUAAUUAUGUACUUUCAGCCUACUUUGCAACUUGAAUCUUAAUUUAGUUAUCCCACUAGAUUCAAAGAUUUUGGACUGAAUUAUUGAAGUAUAGAAUAUAUGGUAGGAUAUUUCAUGAAUAUGGACUUUUCCCGGUGAUUAAAUUCACAAACUUAGAAUGAGGAACAUAGCGGUUGGUGAUAUCAUUAGUAGCAUCAAAUGGGUAUCAGUCAUUGUUUUUUUUCCAAAACUUAAGGAACUUUGUCUACUAUUCAUUUUUUGGCUCCUUGAUUUGAUAGUAUUAGUUUGUCAAAUAGCGUGGUUUAUACUAUCAUUUUUAAUUAAUGUUGCUUCAUUUCAGUAUCCAACAUUGUGACUUUUGUUGGUCUAAAUGGAUGAACAAAAUUCCUUUAUCUUUGUUUGCUCAUUUGGUUUUCCUUUUUUUUCUUUUUUUUGGCAACAUUGAGGCAGCUUCUGCUGAACAUCCCACCACUGAUGUCUUUAUCCAAUUUGUGUCUUAUAUAAGGUUAAUUUCAGUCAUCCUCCGUCUAUUACUUUUUUGUUACUAAGUUGAUAUGUGCUGUGCACAUGUCAAAUUUAGUUUGAAAUUUUGAAUUUGAUCCCUGGAUAAUAAGGUUAGGAAAGAGGAAUAAAAUCAGGAGAUAGCUGUAUUUCCCAACUCUGAUUGUAUAAAGGCAAAAGCUAAACUAUACAAAUAAUAUUUAUGGGUGAUUGUUUCAUAAUUUGGUGAUUAUUUGACCGUUGUGGGUGCUAAAUUAUGAUUCUUGAUAUGAUUUGUGGGAUUAGAUUUUGGUUUAUGUGUUUAUUUGUCUAUGUUUCUGUAAUGCUUUAUUCACUGGGUUUUGUUUAAUUUUUACUGGUUAUUACUCUGAAAUAUUACGGUUUUCAUUAUUUAUGUUAUAGCCCUCUCACAUAUUAACUUAAUGGGAAAUUAUCAAUGGUACACCCAAGGUUCGAGCGUUUAUCAAUGGUACAUCUACUUAACUUAUUGUUUAUCAGCGGUACACCCAAAGUUUCACACACUCCUCUACAGUAAACCUAACGUUAAACAAACGUUAAUUUUGGCUUUUUCGUUUUUUUUUUAACUUAAAAAACUCCCUCCUUUUUUUCCCUCUUGCUUUCCCUCCUUGUUUAUAAACUAACCCACCCACCCAGUCCAAGUGUAUAUAUAGUUUUCCCCCUCUUUUGCAAUUUACUCUUCUCCUUCUCGAAUUUCCCUCUUCACUUUGGUAGGGUUUGUGAAUCAAAUCAGUUAAUCGCAACUGUGACCCCCUCAAGAUAUGCAGAUAUUAAAUCUCAAGCUUUGUUUCAAACCCCGGAAGACCCUACUACAAGUGCAGGUUGUGUGAAUUCUUCAUGUGGGUUAAAGAGGAGCAGAUUGUUACUGACACGGCAGGUAGGGUUGCUAAUACACCUGAAGCUACCGGUGUUCAACUUUUGAGGAGAGACUUCAAUGAGUUCAUGCACAAAACAAAUGAAUUUGCUAACUAUGUUCAUUUUGGUGGUCGAAAUUGUUAUUGUUAUGUAUAUGGUGUUAUUAGUAGUAGCUUUGAAAUAAUGUAAUGAUGUUGUAAUCUUUUAUUUUGAUAUCGAUAAAGCUAAGUAUGUUUUUUUA